rnacentral:piRNA from 1 species
AAAUGGGGACGGGGAUAGACAUA